rnacentral:rRNA from 1 species
AUAUAUGACCAAGUCAGCCUGAAUGUGCCUGAUGUCGCCGGAUGUCAGAAGCUAAGCAGGCUUGAGUCUGGUUGGUAACUGUACAGAAGACUGCCUGCCAAUACCAGGUGUUCUAGGCU